UGGCGGGACCCGGCCCCUCCUCUAGAACAUCCUGUUGGGGCGGAAGUGAGGGAGCCCCUACUCCUCGUGGCUUAGGUUUGCAGGCGGCGGUAGGGUCUCAAGUGUCUCUGGACUACAUUAGUUCUCGGAAAGAACAGCCCCGGAAAGGGCGGGCUUUGUGAAGAUGGCGGCGCUGGAGGUGCUGGAGUCAGACCUGACAAGUGCCGUAACACUUCUGAAAAACCUACAGGAACAGGUGAUGGCUGUAACUGCACAAGUGCAAGCUCUGACAAAAAAAGUUCAAGCUAGAGCUUAUCCUACAGAGAAGGGUCUCAGCCUCUUGGAAGUGAAAGACCAGCUGCUGCUCAUGUACCUUAUGGAUCUGAGCCAUCUCAUCCUGGACAAAGCCUCAGGAGGGUCUCUACAGGGACACACUGCCAUUUUGAGACUGGUGGAGAUUCGCACGGUUUUGGAAAAGCUUCGUCCGUUGGACCAAAAACUGAAGUAUCAAAUUGAUAAACUGGUCAAGACUGCAGUGACAGGCAGCCUCAGUGAGAAUGACCCGCUUCGUUUUAAGCCUCAUCCUAGCAGUAUGAGGAGCAAGUUUAACUCUGAGGAUGAGGAGGAAGAUGAAGCGGAGGAAGGCCAAUCUGAGGCUUCAGGGAAUAAAUCUCUAAAAGCAGUAAAGAAGUAUGUUCCACCACGCUUGGUUCCAGUACAUUAUGAUGAAACAGAAGCUGAGCGGGAGAAGAAGCGCCUAGAACGGGCCAAGAGACGAGCGCUGAGCAGCUCUGUCAUCCGUGAACUGAAGGAGCAGUACUCAGAUGCACCAGAGGAAAUCCGGGCUGCUCGACAUCCUCAUGUCACUCGCCAGAGUCAAGAAGACCAACAUAGGAUUAACUAUGAGGAGAGCAUGAUGGUGCGCUUAAGUGUCAGUAAGCGAGAAAAAGGACGGCGAAAACGAGCAAAUGUCAUGAGCUCACAGCUUCAUUCACUCACGCAUUUCAGUGACAUCAGUGCUUUGACAGGAGGAACCCCUCAUCCUGAGGAGGAUCAGAAUCCUAUUAAGAAGCGCAAGAAGAUACCUAAGAAAGGUCGGAAGAAGAAAGGUACGGGGAUUGGAGCAACGGGCUGAGAAAGGCGUGAGGACACAAAGGAGGAAACGUGCCAUUGCCAGGACCCCAAGUAAGAGGGUGGAGAGCGCUGGCAGUCCUGCCUGGCUUCCAACUGGUAUCCUGCUGAAGGUGGCCAGAUCUUCUUGCCUGGUCUGUAUAUGUCACUGUGGGGGCACAGGGGGAAGGGGAAGGGCUGGUUUGCUGAGCUGGGAUCUAGAAUGAGAAAGGCACCUUUCUGCGGAUCCCGUUUGGACUUCACUCUAUAAGUGAGGAGUCUGAUUUGCUCCUGGUGCCUUCCUCUGCUCCUCCUCCCUCCACUCCACUCUUUCAUCUCUUCAUCACCACCUGGGUCCUACGGCUUGGCACCCAACCAACUAGAUGCUGCCAUGCUUGGCAGUGCUGCACUGGCACGUGAUCAGUGUCUCAGAUCCUGGCACUGCGGCAAACCCGAAGCCGCCAGACGUGCUCACGACCACCACUUGGUGGCAGAGGGGUGGGGGCAUGGUGUCUGCCAUGGUGCCAGGCACGGGGCGGAGUUGCAUGCCGGAAGUGGCAUGAAAGGAUGCCCUCCACAGCUGGGCUGCAUCACCGCUCUGCAGUCAACCCCAGCUCUACCUUCCUCCCAGCUAGACAGCCACUUCCCUCCUGCCCUCACUGCUCUUAAGAAAGGGAUGUAGAUGGCACCAUACUCAGUGUUUGAACAGUUUUUCCAGGGGGAGCUGUUGAUAGAGGGACAAGAGCAUAGCUGAGAGACACAUCCAAGACUCUGGGCCAGUGGACCAUGCACCUCUAUGGGCAGCAAGGACAGAGGAAAUCCUGGGAGGAUGAUGGUGUGAGAGCCUGGAGAAAGGCCAGCCAGCCAUGUUGUCACAGAGGCAGUGCCAGAAGAGAUUGGAAGGGAAGGAGGAGGAAGGGGAGCCCCUCAGGACUUGCUGUUGGAUGGUGAGGUGGUGUGUGCCUGUAUUUCGUUCUGCCCUGUGCUUUGUGAGUAUCUGAGCUGUGGGUGAGAAGAACCAGUUCUUUCACCCUUGUCAAAAAGCCCAUAUUUGGUAACAAGCCUAGAACCAUGGAGAAGCGCUCUGGGUCUUGAGAGAAGACAAAGCACUGGGAACUUGUCCUUCUGCAGAGACAAUUCAGGGAGUUUUGUUUAGGAAUUUCUCAGUGGCACCCCACUUACAGUUGGAUAAAUCUCCAUAUCUUUGAACUCCACCCAUGGAAGGGAGACCACAGAUUAGCAGUGAGCCCUGGUAGAGAAGAAGGCCCCUAGGAGGAGAGCCUCCAACAUCUGUGGUGACAGUGACCUCCAGGGACAGUGCCAUGGGCAGUCCCACAAAACUGGACCUCGGGGCUCCAUUGGAAGACUGCCAGCAGGGUGGGCUUUCCUUGCUUUUUGUGUAGCCCGACACUAUGCAUGCAUCAGUGACUAGGAAGCCCUUUGGGUAGAAGAUUUGGCUCUGGGUGAUGGGGGGGUGGGGGCUGGGUGUCUCUGAUGGAGGAUAGGGCCUGCCUAGAGGGAAGUAAAGCCAUUGCCAGGCUGGGCUGAGCUGAGCUGCCUGGGGCUGGGAGAGUUCCAGUUGCAGCACCUCUGGAAGUGGAUGGCAGCUUCAGACACAGCAAGGUAGUUUCCAGAGCAGAGGAAAAAGCAGGGAGGCACUCAGCCAAAGGGGUGAGUGGACAAUGUUUGUAUCUUUUCUCCUCUUCAGGAACAGCCAACAUAAGCAGGAGACACAGUUAGAUCUGCAAAAUGUUGGUGGUGGGGGUGAUGCCAGGAUAACGAAGAUGACAAAUCCAAGGCGGCUGGAGAUGGCGCUGAGGUAUCGUGGGACAGAAUUUGGUCAGAAGAGCUAAAGCCUUGGAUUGGGUCAAAGCCAUGUUGGAUAUGAAGGACAGUGAGGUGUGCAGGGGAUGAGACAGCCAAGAAGCAGUUUGAGUAAGCUGCUGAUUGUCACACAGCUCUAAGAGGACUAGGAAGACCAAAGCCUCAGAUGCUCUCUCCUCAGCUUCUUCUUCCCAGGAUUGGAAAAAGGCACAGCAGAGUCCCACCUAGAAACCAGAGCAGCUUAGCUUGUGGGUGAGACCCGGAUCGCCAAGGGCAGGAAAAGAUGAUGGGCUUUAGGAUUCAUACAGACCCAGGCCAGUUCCCCACUCGCUAGCUGUGCAACUUUGGUAAAUGACCUGGAGUGUUUUGCUGAAACCCUAUUUCUUCACAUGGAAUGAGAAAGAGUUCCUCACAGAGUUGUAUCGAAAUGAUCAUUAUUGAGACUUGUACUUUGAAUGUGAUCAAUAAAUGGAAAAGAUAAUUAUUCA